UACGGGGGGGGCAAGCGUUGUUCGGAAUUACUGGGCGUAAAGGGCUCGUAGGCGGCCAACUAAGUCAAACGUGAAAUCCCUCGGCUUAACCGGGGAACUGCGUCUGAUACUGGAUGGCUUGAGUUUGGGAGAGGGAUGCGGAAUUCCAGGUGUAGCGGUGAAAUGCGUAGAUAUCUGGAGGAACACCGAUGGCGAAGGCAGCCCCCUGGGCUAACACUGACGCUCAUGCACGAAAGCGUGGGGAGCAAACAGG
rnacentral:rRNA from 1 species